rnacentral:rRNA from 1 species
GACGAACGCUGGCGGCGUGCCUAAUACAUGCAAGUAGAACGCUGAAGAGAGGAGCUUGCUCUUCUUGGAUGAGUUGCGAACGGGUGAGUAACGCGUAGGUAACCUGCCUGGUAGCGGGGGAUAACUAUUGGAAACGAUAGCUAAUACCGCAUAAAAUUGAUUAUUGCAUGAUAAUUAAUUGAAAGAUGCAACUGCAUCACUACCAGAUGGACCUGCGUUGUAUUAGCUAGUUGGUGAGGUAACGGCUCACCAAGGCGACGAUACAUAGCCGACCUGAGAGGGUGAUCGGCCACACUGGACUGAGACACGGCCCAGACUCCUACGGGAGGCAGCAGUAGGGAAUCUUCGGCAAUGGGGGGAACCCUGACCGAGCAACGCCGCGUGAGUGAAGAAGGUUUUCGGAUCGUAAAGCUCUGUUGUAAGAGAAGAACGGGUGUGAGAGUGGAAAGUUCACACUGUGACGGUAUCUUACCAGAAAGGGACGGCUAACUACGUG